rnacentral:rRNA from 1 species
UACGAAGGGGGCUAGCGUUGCUCGGAAUUACUGGGCGUAAAGCGCACGUAGGCGGCUUGUUAAGUCAGGGGUGAAAUCCUGGAGCUCAACUCCAGAACUGCCUUUGAUACUGAGGAUCUUGAGUUCGGGAGAGGUGAGUGGAACUGCGAGUGUAGAGGUGAAAUUCGUAGAUAUUCGCAAGAACACCAGUGGCGAAGGCGGCUCACUGGCCCGAUACUGACGCUGAGGCACGAAAGCGUGGGGAGCAAACAGG